UGGGGAAUUUUGGACAAUGGACGCAAGUCUGAUCCAGCCAUGCCGCGUGCGGGAAGAAGGCCUUCGGGUUGUAAACCGCUUUUGUCAGGGAAGAAACGAGUUUCUCUAAUACAGAGACUUAAUGACGGUACCUGAAGAAUAAGCACCGGCUAACUACGUGCCAGCAGCCGCGGUAAUACGUAGGGUGCAAGCGUUAAUCGGAAUUACUGGGCGUAAAGCGUGCGCAGGCGGUUAUAUAAGACAGAUGUGAAAUCCCCGGGCUCAACCUGGGAACUGCAUUUGUGACUGUAUAGCUAGAGUACAGUAGAGGGGGAUGGAAUUCCGCGUGUAGCAGUGAAAUGCGUAGAUAUGCGGAGGAACACCGAUGGCGAAGGCAAUCCCCUGGACCUGUACUGACGCUCAUGCACGAAAGCGUGGGGAGCAAACA
rnacentral:rRNA from 1 species